rnacentral:rRNA from 1 species
GCAAGGUUAAGCCGAACGAGGCGUAGCCGAAGCGAAAGCGAGUCUGAACAGGGCGCAAAGUCGCGUGGGGUAGACCCGAAGCGGGAUGAGCUAGACAUGGCCAGGAUGAAGCGAGGGUAACACCUCGUGGAGGUCCGAACCGAUGGAAGUUGAAAAUUUCUCGGAUGAGUUGUGUCUAGGGGUGAAAGGCUAAUCAAAUCCCGGGAUAGCUGGUUCUCCUCGAAAGAUAUUUAGGUAUCGGCUCUGGAGUUCACUGACGGGGGUAAAGCACUGAAUGGACUAGGGGCCCUACCAGGUUACCAAAUCCAAUCAAACUCUGAAUACCGUCAAGUGUCAUCCAGGGACGCAGUCGUCGGGAGAUAAGUUCCGGUGACGAGAGGGAAAGAGCCCAGACCAACAGCUAAGGUCCCAAGUUCCGGCUAAGUGGUAAACGAUGUGGAACGCUCUGACAGCCAGGAAGUUGGUUAGAAGCAGCCAUCUUUUAAAGAAAGACGUAAUAGCUCACUGGUCAAGCGGGCCUGCGCGGAAAA